AUGUGGAGGUUUUCUAUUCUGUGCCUCUGUGGACUCACCACUUCUGUGACUACAGACUCCACGGUAACUUUGCUGGAACAGAAGCCUAGGUGGGGUCUGGUACUACGUGGUCAAGCUGUGACCCUGAGCUGUAUCUUGAAGGAUUCCCAGUACCCCUGGAUGAGCUGGUACCAGCAGGAUCCUCAACAGCAGCUACAGUGGCUGGUCACUCUGCGGAGUUCUGGGGACAAAGAGGUCAAAUCUCUCCCCGGUGCUGACUACCUGGCCACACGAGUCACGGAUACAGAGCUGAGGCUCCAGGUGGCCAACGUGACCCAAGGCAGAACCUUGUACUGCACCUGCAGUGCAGACACAGUGAAGGCAGCUGUGGAAGCCGAGCCCCCAGCCCACGUGGGCUCUUCCUUCAAUAAGGAGCGAUGCGGAGCAGCAACACGGAAGCAUUCAUUAGGCAUUAGCGCUUCUUUCCCCAGCGUGCACAGUGAAAGGCAGGCCCAGUGUGAUGCCAGUGUCCGUUCCCAAUGGCGAGUUGGAUUAAAACCCAGAGAAAUUUCAAGAGCUCAGGUCAAAGUGGGCUGA